UUUUAUUUUUUUCUAUUAUAUAGAAAAGGAAAGAUGGUGGACCACGGACAAAAUUGUUAUUUUGCUCAAAGGAAAAUUGUCAUUUUGCUCAAAGAAAAAAAGUGCCUGUAACAAUGCUAACUCCACCUCUUACGACCUUUUUUCCGGCAUUCCGACCUCCAUAUGGGUCUAGAAACAUCGCUCUUCCGACUUUCAUCUUUUCUAUUCCAACAGAUCGGAUCAGUUCUCCUUCUUCAAACUUUCAAUAAUAUUCUUAGCUCUUUUUAUCUUCUUAUUUAUCUAUUACAUUUCAGGAAUCAUUAUCUCAAUCUCUGCUCCAUCUCUUUCUUUCUUUGUUUCUUUUAGAUCUUUUUAACUAUUUCCAAUUUCAUGGAUAAAUUUCCUUGAAUUUCGUGUUUUCCAACCAGACGAUGCGGAAUCACCAUUUUAAGGGUUAUUAUCUGUCCAAUUUCAUUGUUGUUACCUUCUUCUCGCUUCUUAAGGAAGGGUUAACAAGGCUCAAGAUGAUUUGGGAACUCUUCUUAGAAGUUGUGUUCGAGCAACAUCUGUUUGUUUGAAUUUAAAUUCGUUUAUCUAGCUAGGAAUUUAUGGAAUAGGGAAGGUAUGUUAAAGGACCUGUUAUGGGAUUGCUUUAUAUGAUAACUCAUUGUUGUUGGUGGGAUUUGAGAGUAAAGGAAUGGAGGAGUAGGUAAUAGAGUACUUAGGAUUGAUAUAGAUUGUAUGAAGUUGCAACAAUAUCCAACAACUUUGAGAAGCAGACAAGAGGGAUGUAGAUGUAAGGGCAUGUAUACCUUAGCCAAGGAAGUAGCUUAAUUUAUUUAUUUUACUUUUUAUUCCCUGUUAUUUGGCAUUUACUAAUACAAUGUGUAUUCAACAAUAAAUUAUAGUUGUUUGUGUGAGCACCUAAUUUUUGAUCGUGCUUGAAUUUUCGCCCACUCAUUUCACCAAUACUACACUUUGUCCCCACUCCACUUUACCUUGUCCCCCAUGCUUGUCCCCACUCACAACCCCCCACAUCUUCCCUAUUCCCAAAAGAAGAAAAAACGGAUCCCUCCCCCUAAAGAAAAAAUAUAGCAGCCCUCUGCUUUCUUGGGAGAGAAGAGCUUCCUCCCUCAUUUUGGAAACCAACAGCCACACAUCCUCUCUUCUAUUUUAUUUUUCUCCUACCACCUAACCAGAAAUCAGUCAUUUUCUUUGAUCCAUUUUUAGCCAUGUGAGAUCACCCUUAGCCACACAAAAAAAAAAAAACUCCAGCUGAAAAUCAGCAGCAAACCCAACAGCAAAAACAUCUGCGAACAGCUCAAAAACGACCUCAAAACAAGCUCCAAAAAAAUACAGCACUUCUCCUUCCCGAACCAACCAAAAAUAUCUCAAAGUUGUCCCCAUUUUUCGAGUGGAGUUCGUCGCAUGGUUAUGAUUCGAGUCGAGUUCUUCCGGCGAGUUUUCUCCGGUGAGGUUGCUGAUCGAAUUUUCAUCAAGGCCUAGUUGAUUUGUUGAGAUACAUAAGCUCAAAAAUCAGAGUGUUGUCUUAGGAGGUCAAUCUUCUAUCUUUCUUUUACUACUUUAGUUGAGUGCUAUGUUAUGCUUGCUUCUGUUUAAGUCAUUUGAUGGUUUUAUUUUGUUUAAAAAUCUUGAACCUACAUUGAGUGCUUAGUAAGGUCUAUUUCUAUUCAUUCUAUGUUAUUUAUA